rnacentral:rRNA from 1 species
GAUGAACGCUGGCGGCGUGCCUAAUACAUGCAAGUCGAGCGAACAGAUGAGGAGCUUGCUCCUCUGACGUUAGCGGCGGACGGGUGAGUAACACGUGGAUAACCUACCUAUAAGACUGGGAUAACUACGGGAAACCGGAGCUAAUACCGGAUAAUAUAUUGAACCGCAUGGUUCAAUAGUGAAAGACGGUUUUGCUGUCACUUAUAGAUGGAUCCGCGCCGCAUUAGCUAGUUGGUAAGGUAACGGCUUACCAAGGCAACGAUGCGUAGCCGACCUGAGAGGGUGAUCGGCCACACUGGAACUGAGACACGGUCCAGACUCCUACGGGAGGCAGCAGUAGGGAAUCUUCCGCAAUGGGCGAAAGCCUGACGGAGCAACGCCGCGUGAGUGAUGAAGGUCUUCGGAUCGUAAAACUCUGUUAUCAGGGAAGAACAAAUGUGUAAGUAACUAUGCACGUCUUGACGGUACCUAAUCAGAAAGCCACGGCUAACUACGUG